UACGUAGGGUGCGAGCGUUGUCCGGAAUUACUGGGCGUAAAGAGCUCGUAGGUGGUUUGUCGCGUUGUUCGUGAAAACUCACAGCUUAACUGUGGGCGUGCGGGCGAUACGGGCAGACUGGAGUACUGCAGGGGAGACUGGAAUUCCUGGUGUAGCGGUGGAAUGCGCAGAUAUCAGGAGGAACACCGGUGGCGAAGGCGGGUCUCUGGGCAGUAACUGACGCUGAUGCGCGAAAGCUAGGGGAGCGAACGGG
rnacentral:rRNA from 1 species